GACGAACGCUGGCGGCGUGCUUAACACAUGCAAGUCGAGCGGAGCGGCGAACGGGUGAGUAACGCGUGAGUAACUGCCCCCCCCUCUGGGAUAACAGUUGGAUACGGCUGCUAAUACCGGAUAGUGGGGGAUGACUCGCGUCCUAUCAGCUUGUUGGGGGGGUAGUGUUCUACCAAGGCGACGACGGGUAGCCGGCCUGAGAGGGCGACCGGCCACAUUGGGCUAAGGUGCGGCCCGAACGCCGGCUGGAGGCAACAGUGGGGAAUGUUUCAGAGACGGGGAGACCCAUAUGCAGCAACGCCGCGUGCAGGAUGACUGCCUUUGGGGUGUCAACCGCUUUCAGCGAUGACGCGGUAGUGGCAGAAGGAGCACCGGCUAACUACAGGCCAGCAGCCGCGGUAAUUC
rnacentral:rRNA from 1 species